rnacentral:rRNA from 1 species
AUGAACGCUAGCGACAGGCCUAACACAUGCAAGUCAGGGGCAGCACAAGGAGCAAUCUGAGGUGGGCGACCGGCGCACGGGUGAGUAACACGUAUGCAACCUGCCUGUAAGCGGGGAAUAACCCGUUGAAAGACGGACUAAUACCGCAUAAUACUAAAUUACUGCAUGGUAAUUUAUUUAAACAUUUAUGGCUUACAGAUGGGCAUGCGCAUGAUUAGCUAGUUGGAGAGGUAACGGCUCCCCAAGGCAACGAUCAUUAGGGGUUCUGAGAGGAAGGUCCCCCACACUGGUACUGAGACACGGACCAGACUCCUACGGGAGGCAGCAGUGAGGAAUAUUGGUCAAUGGACGAGAGUCUGAACCAGCCAAGUCGCGUGCAGGAAGAAUGUCCUAUGGAUUGUAAACUGUCUUUUGCAGGGGAAUAAAGUGCAUCACGUGUGAUGUUUUGUAUGUACUCUGCGAAUAAGGAUCGGCUAACUCCGUGCCAGCAGCUGC